CCUACGGGUGGCAGCAGUGAGGAAUAUUGGUCAAUGGACGAGAGUCUGAACCAGCCAAGUAGCGUGAAGGAUGAAUGCCCUAAGGGUUGUAAACUUCUUUUAUCUAGGAAUAAAAUGAUGCACGAGAGGGUUUUUGUAUGUACUUUAUGAAUAAGCAUCGGCUAACUCCGUGCCAGCAGCCGCGGUAAUACGGAGGAUCCGAGCGUUAUCCGGAUUUAUUGGGUUUAAAGGGGGCGUAGGGGGUUUGUUAAGUCGUUGUGAAAAGUUCGGGGUCAACCCUAAACUUGCAAUUGAUACUGGCAGCCUUGAGUACAGGUGAGGUAGGCGGAAUUCGUGGUGUAGCGGUGAAAUGCUUAGAUAUCACGAAGAACUCCGAUUGCGAAGGCAGCUUACUAGA
rnacentral:rRNA from 1 species